CGUGUUGUGACUUCGCAGUUUAGUCUCUGAAGGAAUUUUUCCGUAAACACGUGUUAGGCUGAUGCCUUUUAAUUUUAAGCAAGCUCAGUGGGAGAGAAACGGCCACAGCUAUUUGUGAGCAGCCUGACUCCUGCUUGGGCAUGCAAACCAGUAUUUUGCAACUGGAAAUGACGUCUCAGUCCUCUGUUUUUUCGACGCCGAUGAUUGUGAAGCUCACCGCUGAAAUAUGCGUGGCACGAGCGAACAGAUGCGCGCGCGGACAGCAGGUGGUCCAGAGUGCGCGAGUGUCUCGCUCAGUCUGUUCGAAGGUGUGCGUUUUACGCAGAUGCCGGGUGGGCGGGCAAUGCGGAAACGGAGAUUAUUCCGUUUACAGAUGUUCUCUGUAUUCGCCUUUGGACUCUGCUGGCGUUAUUUUUGAGCGUACUGUAAUAUAACGUUCGGUUAAGACUCGCGGUUUGUUUUUUUCUGUAUAUAUAUAAAUAAGUCUUCAAAGUCCGGUUUUAAUGAACCUGAGACGCUGAGUUAAUAAAUCUCUAAAAGUAAUCUGACGCGUGAAUGUUAAAAUGGCUACCCCUGAUAAUUUUAUAUAUCAGUAAUUUCUUAGGACACGCUAUUAUCGUUAGAAUCAGCGCCGUAGUUGUUGCGAUCUGGCAUUAAGAAAACGCCCGCGUCUUUGGCUUUCCCAGUCCAGUGUCGUAAAGUAACAAAGUUUACUGAUGCCUCAGUGUUCAUCGAGCGCACGUUAGACUUUCGACAAGCACUUUAUGCGCCACAGCGUCCGUGUACAAUAACAUCGGAAAUGAAAAUUACAGGUACACCAUCGCUGGUGGCGCAGUGUAUCGCUGCAUCUUGCCAAUGUCAACGUCCAGUCAGUGCACUGAGGCGCUUAUAACUGUUGUUGAAAUCUGAUCUUGCUAAUCUCUUUGUAUUUUGGAAUGUGUGGGUAUUCACACCUGCUGUGUGAACGUUGUUUUUUUGCCUGUCACAUUUAAAAAAAAAAAAAAAAAAAAAAAUUUUGGUUUAAGAGGCUUGUUUUGACAAGUUCCACAGCAGUGGAUUGUUGAUGCAUAUUGUAUCUUUGUGUAUGUACACUUUAUAUUCUAAAACAAAAGACUUUUAAUAACCAAGAUGGCAAAAGAAAUAUAGUCCAGUUAUGGUGUAAAAAAAGAGAAUCUUUUGACCUUACUGUUGACCAGACCUUUGCCUUGUUUAUAGAGUUUCUGGAAAGCGGUGAAAUGUAAAAUUUUAAAACAGUUGGUAGCUGUGUACAGUUAGUACCACUGCCUGUCCAAACGUGUGAUGUCAUUAAGGCUGCGAUUUUAUCAGGGAUUCUGUGAAAUCAAUAGAUUCUUGUGAAAAUCCUCAAUUUUACACUUAUGUAGGAGUUUAAGCAAAGCAAAUUACUCAUUUCAAAGGGCAGGAAAAAAGUGAAGAUGCUUUUUUUUUUUUACAGACUCUACCUUGGUUUGGGUUUGCCGCUGACAGGCUCUUACCGUGUGAACUGUGUACAGUUAAUAGAAUCCAAUGCUGGUUAAAAAGCAACAGCGUAUUAUUACCCAAUAGCAAACCAGACGAGAGAAACUAGUCUCAGUGGCUGCAGGGAAUGUUUCAUGAAAGUGGCAAAGGAAUGAGGUUUGGUGCAGAUGACAUGUCCCUGAAGACAGCGAGCCAGAGGGCGUAAUUGCAAACUCUGUGCUUGGUGCUUUGCAUAUAAGAGCUUGCCUGUCGGGUAGACAGCAGUCUUUCGCUCUGACACAGUCCUUGUUGGCUAAGAAAAACCUUGAUAUGGCAGCAGACGUGAAACAGGUAUUACUGGUUCAGAUUUUUUAAAUCAACCUGCCACCAUUUUUACCAUUUCUUCUAUUUUGCAUUUUGGAGAGUAUCCCAACAAGGAUAAACAUAUUGAGUGCCCAUUUCAAAGAUGACUUUCAGGUUGCCAUACACUGUUCUCAGCAAACAGCAGACCCAAUCCAAUGUUAGAAUCUGGUUUCUUAUAGCUAGUUUCUAAACCUUUCGUUCUGUCAUAAAAUAACCGUUCAUAUUGAGUGUGUACAUUUCCAUGAUGUCAUAACAUUGUCUGCUAGUUCCGUUGCAUUGCUAACUGCACUCUUCUUGUUUCUUGCCUGACAGUUUACACACACAAAACACUUU